UUGGUUAUGGGAGCCUUUGAGAUGUUUCAGAGAUUUUUAGGAGCACAAGCAGUGUGGAUUUCUAAUACCCCCAGUGGGUCUUUCUACAUCUCAUCUGAUCUGCAGCGAGAGCUCCCUCCUCUCCUUCCUUCUCCAGCUCACUUUUCCUGCUGCUCCUGGCUCCAGAGUGCUGUCCUCAAGCUAUUGCACUUUGAUCCUAUCUGUUUAAUCCAUGUUUUUCAAGGCCCUAAUGGACGAGGCCCUGAACCCGCUGCGCGUUCGGUGUCGCCCGCGCUUCGAGCAGGAGCCUGGAGGUGACAGUAGUAAACCCAGGGAAAUGCAAAACGCAGCAGAACCCGUGGCUGGAAGGUUGGCUUUUGUACCAAAC
rnacentral:lncRNA from 1 species